UACGAAGGGGGCUAGCGUUGUUCGGAAUUACUGGGCGUAAAGCGCGCGCAGGCGGUUCUCCAAGUCAGUGGUGAAAGCCCGGAGCUCAACUCCGGAACUGCCAUUGAAACUGUUUAGCUUGAGGAUGAGAGAGGUGAGUGGAAUUCCCAGUGUAGAGGUGAAAUUCGUAGAUAUUGGGAAGAACACCGGUGGCGAAGGCGGCUCACUGGCUCAUUACUGACGCUCGGGCGCGAUAGCGUGGGGAUCAAACAGG
rnacentral:rRNA from 1 species